GACGAACGCUGGCGGCGUGCUUAACACAUGCAAGUCGAACGGAAAGGCCCUGCUUUUGUGGGGUGCUCGAGUGGCGAACGGGUGAGUAACACGUGAGUAACCUGCCCUUGACUUUGGGAUAACUUCAGGAAACUGGGGCUAAUACCGGAUAGGAGCUCCUGCUGCAUGGUGGGGGUUGGAAAGUUUCGGCGGUUGGGGAUGGACUCGCGGCUUAUCAGCUUGUUGGUGGGGUAGUGGCUUACCAAGGCUUUGACGGGUAGCCGGCCUGAGAGGGUGACCGGCGACAUGGGGACUGAGAUACGGCCCAGACUCCUACGGGAGGCAGCAGUGGGGAAUAUUGCACAAUGGGCGGAAGCCUGAUGCAGCAACGCCGCGUGCGGGAUGACGGCCUUCGGGUUGUAAACCGCUUUAGCCUGUGACGAAGCGUGAGUGACGGUAAUGGGUAAAGAAGCACCGGCUAACUACGUG
rnacentral:rRNA from 1 species